GGGGGGGGGGGUGGCUAUACAUGCAAGUCGAGCGAACUGAUUAGAAGCUUGCUUCUAUGACGUUAGCGGCGGACGGGUGAGUAACACGUGGGCAACCUGCCUGUAAGACUGGGAUAACUUCGGGAAACCGAAGCUAAUACCGGAUAGGAUCUUCUCCUUCAUGGGAGAUGAUUGAAAGAUGGUUUCGGCUAUCACUUACAGAUGGGCCCGCGGUGCAUUAGCUAGUUGGUGAGGUAACGGCUCACCAAGGCAACGAUGCAUAGCCGACCUGAGAGGGUGAUCGGCCACACUGGGACUGAGACACGGCCCAGACUCCUACGGGAGGCAGCAGUAGGGAAUCUUCCGCAAUGGACGAAAGUCUGACGGAGCAACGCCGCGUGAGUGAUGAAGGCUUUCGGGUCGUAAAACUCUGUUGUUAGGGAAGAACAAGUACGAGAGUAACUGCUCGUACCUUGACGGUACCUAACCAGAAAGCCACGGCUAACUACGUGCCAGCAGCCGCGGUAAUACGUAGGUGGCAAGCGUUAUCCGGAAUUAUUGGGCGUAAAGCGCGCGCAGGCGGUUUCUUAAGUCUGAUGUGAAAGCCCACGGCUCAACCGUGGAGGGUCAUUGGAAACUGGGGAACUUGAGUGCAGAAGAGAAAAGCGGAAUUCCACGUGUAGCGGUGAAAUGCGUAGAGAUGUGGAGGAACACCAGUGGCGAAGGCGGCUUUUUGGUCUGUAACUGACGCUGAGGCGCGAAAGCGUGGGGGAGCAAACAGGAUUAGAUACCCUGGUAGUCCACGCCGUAAACGAUGAGUGCUAAGUGUUAGAGGGUUUCCGCCCUUUAGUGCUGCAGCUAACGCAUUAAGCACUCCGCCUGGGGAGUACGGUCGCAAGACUGAAACUCAAAGGAAUUGACGGGGGGCCCGCACAAGCGGUGGAGCAUGUGGGUUUAAUUUCGAAGGCAACGCGAAGAACCCUUACCAGGUCUUUGACAUCCCUCUGACACUCCUAGAGAAUAGAGGCGUUCCCCCUUUCGGGGGACAGAGUGACAGGUGUGCAUGAUGUCGUCAGCUCGUGUCCGUGAGAUUGUUUGGGGUUAAGUUCCCGCGCCAAGCC
rnacentral:rRNA from 1 species